GUUGAAGACGACGACGUUGAUAGGUCGGGUGUGUAAGCGCAGCGAUGCGUUGAGCUAACCGAUACUAAUGAACCGUGAGGCUUAACCUUACAACGCCGAAG
rnacentral:rRNA from 1 species